CCUUUAGCAGAUGAUGCUCUAAUCUCCCUUUGGCAUCUCCCUGCCAGUUGCCAAUGCAGCCAUGUGCACAUCUGAGAGCAAAUUUUCUAGGACAGCACUGGGAGAUCCAGAAGUGCCAUGCUGUGCCAGCCCACCUGGCUGCAAGCUGCACAGAAAUCCCUGAUUUGUCAGUCCAGGAGCCCAAAGUGACUGAAAGACCUUUCCAGAGCCACGAGCAUGGGGUUUGUCCUACUGCUGGGAAAUGCUUCUGCACAAUGUCCUAUCAAGCAGACAUCCAGAGCUGCAGUUUAAAAUGUCACUCAGAAAUGUUCUGUGCCUGCAGAUGGAAGGGGGGAGGUUGCCAGCUGUUUGGUUGCUCCAAAAGGCUGUUUUGUCCGCUGUGAGACCCCCUUGCCCUCUCCAAAGAUGCAGGUCCAAACAGGAGUUACCUCACCAGAGUGAAAAAUGUUGAACAAUGCAGAGCUGCCCUCCUUGUCACGUUCCUGCUUGGCUUGCUUAGGCAUUUUUGAAACUCCUCUAAGCCCCACACCCAGUGUUUUGUAGUGUCCUUAGCACUGAAAAUCAGUCUCAGCAUGAGCCUCAGUCUCUCUCUUACCAGCUUUCAGUAACAGUGAAUGGAAAGCAAAUCCAAAUCUUCACUCCAUCAGAAACCGCAGCUGCAAAGCUGCCCUAUUGUUUCAUGAGCUACUUUUAUUUUUGAGCCUUCAGACCUGUGGAACAUCCUCUGCAAAGGUUAAAUUCGAAAUUAGCUGCACAAGCAUAGGGAGGAAAGUCUGUCUGUCAGCUUGCUUGAGAGUCCCCAACCCCCUGCAAAACAAAAUGGAAGUGUCUCUGGUUCAAGGCAGCCUACACGGCAGCGAGCUGCAGGAGCUGUAAGCUAUUAUUUUAGAUCCCAAGAAAAGUAAUUACUAUAGCAACCAACACAUCCAAAUGGCUCUUUGGCUGCUGCCGAGACACAAACAACUUGCACACAAAGGCACAUCAGAAACGUGCUGUGUAAAAUGUUCUCGGGUAGCUCUGUGUUUUCGAGGGCUCUAUAAAAUGUGCUUAACAGGCUUCUGAGAAAUGACUGCCAGAGUAACAGCAAGCAAUUGUGCCGUGCCACAAUCCCAAAAUAACCUAAUCAAUGGCUCAGUAUAUUUGCCCCUGAAGAGAUGAAGCAAAAAAAAAAAAGCAGAGGCUCCAUUUUAAGCCUAUGUGCAGGGAAGUUCCCAGCAGAGCUGAAGAUACAUUCAAUAAACAGACAAUAAAAUGGUGGGGGAGCGUCUCC
rnacentral:lncRNA from 1 species